rnacentral:rRNA from 1 species
UGAAGAGUUUGAUCAUGGCUCAGAUUGAACGCUGGCGGCAGGCCUAACACAUGCAAGUCGAACGGUAACAGGAAGCAGCUUGCUGCUUCGCUGACGAGUGGCGGACGGGUGAGUAAUGUCUGGGAAACUGCCUGAUGGAGGGGGAUAACUACUGGAAACGGUGGCUAAUACCGCAUAACGUCGCAAGACCAAAGAGGGGGACCUUCGGGCCUCUUGCCAUCAGAUGUGCCCAGAUGGGAUUAGCUUGUUGGUGAGGUAACGGCUCACCAAGGCGAC